GCGAAUGUGAUGGAAUGGUAGACAUGCCUCACUUAAGAUGAGUUGUCUUAUAGACGUAAGAGUUCAAGUCUCUUCAUUCGUA
rnacentral:tRNA from 1 species